rnacentral:rRNA from 1 species
GUCUUCGGAUGAGUAGAGCGGCGGACGGGUGAGUAACGCGUAGGAAUCUACCUGGUAGUGGGGGAUAACUCGGGGAAACUCGAGCUAAUACCGCAUACGUCCUGAGGGAGAAAGCGGGGGAUCGCAAGACCUCGUGCUAUCAGAUGAGCCUGCGUAGGAUUAGCUAGUUGGUGGGGUAAAGGCCCACCAAGGCGACGAUCCUUAGCUGGUCUGAGAGGAUGACCAGCCACACUGGGACUGAGACACGGCCCAGACUCCUACGGGAGGCAGCAGUGGGGAAUAUUGGACAAUGGGGGCAACCCUGAUCCAGCCAUGCCGCGUGUGUGAAGAAGGCCUUCGGGUUGUAAAGCACUUUCAGCGGGGAGGAAGGCGUCGUGACUAAUAUUCACGGCGAUUGACGUUACCCGCAGAAGAAGCACCGGCUAACUCCGUGCCAGCAGCCGCGGUAAUACGGAGGGUGCGAGCGUUUAUCGGAAUUACUGGGCGUAAAGCGCGCGUAGGCGGCUUG